GAUGAACGCUGGCGGCGUGCCUAAUACAUGCAAGUCGAGCGAAUGGAUUAAGAGCUUGCUCUUAUGAAGUUAGCGGCGGACGGGUGAGUAACACGUGGGUAACCUGCCCAUAAGACUGGGAUAACUCCGGGAAACCGGGGCUAAUACCGGAUAACAUUUUGAACCGCAUGGUUCGAAAUUGAAAGGCGGCUUCGGCUGUCACUUAUGGAUGGACCCGCGUCGCAUUAGCUAGUUGGUGAGGUAACGGCUCACCAAGGCAACGAUGCGUAGCCGACCUGAGAGGGGGAUCGGCCACACUGGGACUGAGAAACGGCCCAGACUCCUACGGGAGGCAGCAGUAGGGAAUCUUCCGCAAGGGACGAACGUCUGACGGAGCAACGCCGCGUGAGUGAUGAAGGCUUUCGGGUCGUAAAACUCUGUUGUUAGGGAAGAACAAGUGCUAGUUGAAUAAGCUGGCACCUUGACGGUACCUAACCAGAAAGCCACGGCUAACUACGUGCCAGCCGCCGCGGUAA
rnacentral:rRNA from 1 species